UGUAGGGAUGGGUAGUAGAAUACGUUUCCCUACCGCAGCCAGAAGCGUGACGUAAGAGGCGUCUAACUGUGCAAACCAGUUCCUAAGUUCAGAAAAGGGACUAUUCUAGUUUAGAAGUCCUUUUCCAUUUCUCUCUUAACUUUUGUUGUAAUUUAGCUUAUCUCGCCGCAUGAUAACUCUAAAAAUUCCUAAUUUAUUCGUUCAAGUAAAAUGUAGUUAUUAAAAUUAUAAAAUUAGAUGGCCGAUCGGUUUAGUAUAAAUUUAGCAUAAGUAUAUUUCCCGGAUUUGACUUUUACCUCCCCUCAUUGGAUCCCUGAGGAAGGACUCGGACUUUACUCUCACCACUUCCUCAGCGAAGUUGGUCAUUUAAAAGGCUACACUAUUUAGUGCUAGUUCCUUUCCUUCCAUUGUGUAAGGAAAGCUGGUGGUGGUGUGCCAGUCACAAUUGGUUUAUUUGAGUUGUCUCAGUACACUCAUUACAUUUUAUUUCAUUUCCUUCCAUUGUGUAAGGAAAGCUGGUGGUGGUGUGCCAGUCACAAUUGGUUUAUUUGAGUUGUCUCAGUACACUCAUCACAUUUUAUUUCAUUUCCUUCCAUUGUGUAAGGAAAGCUGGUGGUGGUGUGCCAGUCACAAUUGGUUUAUUUGAGUUGUCUCAGUACACUCAUUACAUUUUAUUUCAUUUCCUUCCAUUGUGUAAGGAAAGCUGGUGGUGGUGUGCCAGUCACAAUUGGUUUAUUUGAGUUGUCACAGUACACUCAUUCCAUUUCCUUUCUUUUUCGAUAGUCAGUGGUGACAGUACCUAACUGCACUCUAAAUUCCCUUUUAUUUCCAAAUUAGUCAGCGGCGAUGGUGCCUAGCUGCACUACCCCCUUUGUUAGUUAAUAACAAAUUCUUCUUUAACUGUAGGUUAAUUUGGCAUGUAAAGUGAAACUAGUCAGCGGCGUGGGUGCCUAACUGUACUAAUCAUCUCCUCGUUUUGUAUUACCUUAAGUCUCUAAUUAAAUUAAAAUAGUUCAGCACGUCAGCUUAGCAUAAGACAGUGGCAGAGGUGCCUAACUGUAUUAUAAUUCCCUUAACUUAGUAUACUAUAAAUUUUGUUUCUUCAUAAAUAAUAAAAUUUAGUGGUAACCUCGUUUUCGCAUGUUAGUAAUUCCAGACAGUGGCUUUGGGGCUCAACUGUCUCUAAUUGUUAGUUAACUUAAUGCAUUGCAUCUGCACGAGUAGAGUAUAAUUGAUUGGUUAGUUUUCAUUUUACAUCCCUUAAAUUUAAGUUUGUUUAAUUUCAAUUCUCCUAAAAUCAAUGUAGAAGCGGAAUUGAACUGUUGAUAGGUGGUGCUGAGGCCCGUCGUUUCUCACUCUUUCCCUCUUGUACCGUAGAACCAUUAAUAAUAGCAAGUUUUAAAGUUAGUCACAGGAUUUUCAACUUUAGUUUUUCUAUGUCCUAUAAUUACAAUAAUUACUCUUAUAAGUUUACUCUAGUAUUCCGCCCAAAGUAUUCCUUGAUAAACUCUAAGCUCUGCAGUUCAGUUCUAGUCUAGCGGUUAUUUUUGAGUUAGCUUUUGUUUUCUUCCAUAAAAAAUAGUUCCUAUUUUUUAUUUUUCACAGAAAGGGGGUAAUGUAACGUGUCAAUAAGUCACGUCACAUACUAAACACAUAUUUAAUAAAGUUCUCCAUGAGUUAGCCUACAUUUGUUUAGAUUUAUUUCCAAAUUAGAAAAUAUUCCCAAUUCCUGUUUUAUUUACAACCAUUCGCUUGUCACUUUGACGUUUGACAGCGAACUAUUUGAGUUUCGUUGUCUUUGACAGAUUCGGUAACUUUCAUUCCAAUGCCUUUAAAAUUGUCUCAAACGUUUUCAUAUUUGAUAAAUUCUUCUUUUCGUUUAAAUUUCGCAAGUGGUAGUUUUGUUUUAGGAAAAAUAGAUCCGACAAUAUUUGAUAAUAUAUUUAAUAAUAUAUUCGUCAAAAAUUGUUCAAAAUUUAUUACAAUUUUAGCAUUUUGGUUAGCAAAAAUCAUUCUUAUUUCGGAUCUGGUAACAUUUCUUCUUAUCGAUGGUUCGAUGUGAAUUCCGUCUUGUCAUUUUACUGUCAGCUUUCUCAUUGGAAAACAGAUAAAAUUUUGAUCCGAGAAAAUCAUUGUAAAUUUCCAUUAUUUUGGUGAAAUACCGGCAGUGCUUUGUUCCGGAGGUUUGCUCCGUCCCUCAGGAAUGGAUUAGGGGCGAAAAUAAUGCCGCCACGGCAAACCCCGGCAACCUAAUGAAGGGCUAACGUAAGUUUUUCCUCAAUUUCCACAAUCGUCUUUCGGAAAAUGCGAUUCCUUUUAAAUUUUCCGGUUCGACUUUAGCUGACUCGCGCCAUUUUUCUUUUCCAGAUAAGGGGCGUGUUAGCCCUUAUAACCCUUAUAAUCCUUUUAA